rnacentral:rRNA from 1 species
UACGUAGGAGGCAAGCGUUGUCCGGAAUUACUGGGCGUAAAGCGCGUGUAGGUGGUGGGACAAGUCUGCUGUGAAAGCGCCUGGCUUAACCGGGCGAGGUCGGCGGAAACUGUUCGACUCGAGGACGGUAGAGGGGGGUGGAAUUCCCGGUGUAGUGGUGAAAUGCGUAGAGAUCGGGAGGAACACCUGUGGCGAAGGCGGCCUUCUGGACAGUGACUGACGCUGAGACGCGAAAGCGUGGGGAGCAAACAGG